ACACAUGCAGUCGAGCGGUAGAGAGAAGCUUGCUUCUCUUGAGAGCGGCGGACGGGUGAGUAAUGCCUAGGAAUCUGCCUGGUAGUGGGGGAUAACGUUCGGAAACGGACGCUAAUACCGCAUACGUCCUACGGGAGAAAGCAGGGGACCUUCGGGCCUUGCGCUAUCAGAUGAGCCUAGGUCGGAUUAGCUAGUUGGUGAGGUAAUGGCUCACCAAGGCGACGAUCCGUAACUGGUCUGAGAGGAUGAUCAGUCACACUGGAACUGAGACACGGUCCAGACUCCUACGGGAGGCAGCAGUGGGGAAUAUUGGACAAUGGGCGAAAGCCUGAUCCAGCCAUGCCGCGUGUGUGAAGAAGGUCUUCGGAUUGUAAAGCACUUUAAGUUGGGAGGAAGGGCANUAANUUAAUACUUUGNUGUUUUGACGUUACCGACAGAAUAAGCACCGGCUAACUCUGUGCCAGCAGCCGCGGUAAUACAGAGGGUGCAAGCGUUAAUCGGAAUUACUGGGCGUAAAGCGCGCGUAGGUGGUUUGUUAAGUUGGAUGUGAAAUCCCCGGGCUCAACCUGGGAACUGCAUUCAAAACUGACUGACUAGAGUAUGGUAGAGGGUGGUGGAAUUUCCUGUGUAGCGGUGAAAUGCGUAGAUAUAGGAAGGAACACCAGUGGCGAAGGCGACCACCUGGACUAAUACUGACACUGAGGUGCGAAAGCGUGGGGAGCAAACAGGAUUAGAUACCCUGGUAGUCCACGCCGUAAACGAUGUCAACUAGCCGUUGGAAGCCUUGAGCUUUUAGUGGCGCAGCUAACGCAUUAAGUUGA
rnacentral:rRNA from 1 species